AAUCAACGCUGGCGGCGUGCCUCAGACAUGCAAGUCGAACGAUUAAAGCUCUCUUCGGAGAGUGCAUAGAGUGGCGCACGGGUGAGUAACACGUAAGUAAUCUACCUUCGAGUGGGGAAUAACGUCCGGAAACGGACGCUAAUACCGCAUAAUGCAGCGGCAUCGCAAGAUGACAGUUGUUAAAGAAUUUAUUCGCUUGAAGAGGAGCUUGCGGCAGAUUAGCUAGUUGGUAAGGUAAUGGCUUACCAAGGCUACGAUCUGUAACCGGUCUAAGAGGACGGUCGGUCACACUGACACUGAAUAACGGGUCAGACUCCUACGGGAGGCAGCAGUCGGGAAUUUUGGCAAUGGGCGAAAGCCUGACCCAGCAACGCCGCGUGAAGGAUGAAGUAUUUCGGUAUGUAAACUUCGAAAGAAUAGGAAGAAUAAAUGACGGUACUAUUUAUAAGGUCCGGCUAACUACGUGCCAGCAGCCG
rnacentral:rRNA from 1 species